rnacentral:rRNA from 1 species
UUGAACGCUGGCGGAAUGCUUUACACCUGCACGUCGAACGGCAGCACGGGGGCAGCCCUGGUGGCGAGUGGCGAACGGGUGAGUAAUACAUCGGAACGUGCCCGGUCGUGGGGGAUAACGUAGCGAAAGUUACGCUAAUACCGCAUACGAUCUGAGGAUGAAAGCGGGGGACCUUCGGGCCUCGCGCGAUCGGAGCGGCCGAUGUCAGAUUAGGUAGUUGGUGGGGUAAAGGCCUACCAAGCCGACGAUCUGUAGCUGGUCUGAGAGGACGACCAGCCACACUGGGACUGAGACACGGCCCAGACUCCUACGGGAGGCAGCAGUGGGGAAUUUUGGACAAUGGGCGCAAGCCUGAUCCAGCCAUUCCGCGUGCAGGACGAAGGCCUUCGGGUUGUAAACUGCUUUUGUACGGAACGAAAAGGCUCUGGCUAAUACCUGGGGCUCAUGACGGUACCGUAAGAAUAAGCACCGGCUAACUACGUG